GACGAACGCUGGCGGCGUGCUUAACACAUGCAAGUCGAACGGAAAGGCCCUGCUUUUGUGGGGUGCUCGAGUGGCGAACGGGUGAGUAACACGUGAGUAACCUGCCCUUGACUUUGGGAUAACUUCAGGAAACUGGGGCUAAUACCGGAUAGGAGCUCCUGCUGCAUGGUGGGGGUUGGAAAGUUUCGGCGGUUGGGGAUGGUCUCGCGGCUUAUCAGCUUGUUGGUGGGGUAGUGGCUGACCAAGGCUUUGACGGGUAGCCGGCCUGGGAGGGUGACCGGGCACCAUAGGCCUGCGGUAGGGACCAGACGCCAACCGGCGGCAACGGGGGGGAACAUUGCGCAGUAGGGCGGCGCCUGAUACGGCGGUCCCGCGUGCGGGAUGACGGGCUUCUGGUUGUGAACCGCUUUCGCCUGUGACGAGGCGUGAGUGACGGUAAUGGGUAAAGAAGCACCGGCUAACUACGUG
rnacentral:rRNA from 1 species